CAACUACUCCCUCUAUCCCAAAUUUCUUGUCUUAGAUUUGUCUAGAUACGUAUGUAUCUAAUACUAAAAUGUGACUUGAUACAUCUGUAUCUAGACAAAUCUAAGACAAGAAUUUUGGGACGGAGGGAGUACUUU
rnacentral:pre_miRNA from 1 species